CACGUAGGGGGCAAGCGUUGUCCGGAUUUAUUGGGCGUAAAGAGCUCGUAGGUGGUUCGAUAAGUCGGGUGUGAAACCUCCAGGCUCAACCUGGAGACGCCACCCGAUACUGUCGUGAUUAGAGUCCAGUAGGGGAGCGUGGAAUUCCUGGUGUAGCGGUGAAAUGCGCAGAUAUCAGGAGGAACACCAGUGGCGAAGGCGGAUCUCUGGGCCUUACCUGUCGCUCAGGUGCGAAAGCUAGGGGAGCGAACAGG
rnacentral:rRNA from 1 species